AUGACAACUUUGUUGUUUCCAGGCCUUUUUCGGUUUCUCUGCCUCUUCCUGGGUUUCUCUUGCAGCCUACCAUCAUUAGGAAUCUGCGAUGAACCGCCGAGCGAUAGACAAGCCCUCCUUUGCUUCAAAUCCCAGCUCUCGGGUCCGGCUGGAUUUCUAGCUUCAUGGACCAACACGUCCACGGAGUUCUGCGACUGGCACGGAAUCACCUGCGGCGUGACGUCCCCCCGGCAUGUCAUUGCGCUUAACCUUGAAUCCCAAGGCAUCUCAGGCACCAUAGCACCUUGCAUUGCCAAGCUCACUUGGCUGACAAGGCUCCAGCUGUCGAACAAUAGCUUCCAUGGCGCUGUGCCGUCCGAGCUUGGCCUCCUUAGCCGACUCACCAACCUCAACCUCAGCAUGAACACUUUGGAAGGUAACAUCCCACCUGAAAUCUCUGCAUGUUCCCAGCUCCAAAUUCUGGGUUUGUGGAACAAUUCCCUCCGUGGAGAGAUCCCGCAUAGCCUUAGCCAGUGCAAGCGCCUUCAAGAGAUUAACCUUGGCAACAACAAGCUCCAGGGGAGCAUCCCUCCUGCUUUCGGAGACCUUCCUGCGCUGCGCAUGCUAGUUCUUGCCAAAAACAUGCUUACCGGCACCAUACCUCCGUCUUUGGGCAGCAGUCGCCAUCUCACAUAUGCCGAUCUUGGGAUGAAUGCCCUCGGAGGGGUCAUCCCACAGUCCUUGGCAAAUAGUUCAUCUCUUCAAGUACUUAGGCUCAUGAGCAAUGGUCUUACUGGGGAACUCCCAAAGGCUCUGCUCAACACUUUGUCACUUGGUGCCAUUUGCCUUGAAAAGAACAAUUUUGUUGGUUCGAUACCUUCUGUUACUGUCGCAUCGUCCCCUAUUAAGAAACUCUCUUUAAGGUUUAACAAUCUUUCAGGAGGAAUACCUUCCUCACUAGGGAACCUUUCUUCCCUAGUUCAUCUUUAUCUUACAAACAACCAUUUAGUUGGGAGCAUCCCAGAGAGCUUAGGUUAUAUUCCAACACUAGAGAUAUUGACCUUGACUACGAACAACUUAUCUGGGCAGGUUCCACCGUCCAUCUUCAAUAUGUCAUCCCUGAGAAGUCUCACCAUAGCAGAAAACUCACUUGUCGGCAGAUUACCCUUUGACAUUGGCUACACCCUCCCCAAUAUACAGGACCUAAUACUCUCAUAUAACAGUUUUGAUGGACCAAUCCCAUCCUCUCUUCUCAAAGCAUACCACCUACAAAGGCUUGACCUGAACACUAAUAGAUUUACUGGACUCAUACCAUUCUUCGGCUCAUUGCCAAAUUUAGUGCUACUCGAUUUGGCAAUCAACAAACUAGAAGCAGAUGAUUGGGGCUUUGUCUCUUCACUAUCUAAGUGCUCCAGACUGAACAUGUUGGCCCUGGAUGGGAACAAUCUCAAUGGGAAAUUGCCAAGUUCUAUUGGGAAUCUUUCAAAUAGUCUUGACUACUUGUGGCUAAGUAGCAACAAAAUUUCUGGACCUAUACCAUCGGAGAUUGGCAACCUCAAGAGCCUCAUUGGCUUGUAUAUGGGUGACAAUCUUCUCACCGGUAAUAUACCAUCAACAAUUGGGAAAUUGUACAAAUUGGUUGAUCUAUCCUUUGCGCAAAACAGGCUUUCGGGUCAGAUUCCAGAUACUGUUGGCAAUCUUGUUCAGCUGAGCACGCUGGAAUUGGAUCAUAACAGCUUCAGUGGAAGAAUACCUGCAAGUAUAGGACAAUGCACUCAACUCACCAUACUCAACCUUGCUCACAACUCACUAGAUGGGCGUAUACCAAGUAAAAUCUUGACAAUCUCUACGCUUUCUAAAGAGCUGGACUUGUCAAACAACUACUUGUCUGGAAGAAUGCCAGAUGAAGUUGGAAGUCUCCUUCAUCUGAAGAAAAUCAACAUGUCAAAUAACAGGUUGACUGGCAACAUACCAUCAACUCUCGGCCAGUGUGUUGAUCUGGAGUAUCUUGAGAUGCAAAACAACUUCUUUGCAGGAAGAAUUCCACAAACAUUUUCCAACUUAGUCAGCAUAAAACACAUGGAUAUUUCUGGGAACAAUUUGUCUGGAAAAGUACCAGAGUUCCUCAAAUCCUUGAAAUCACUGCAAGGCCUGAAUUUAUCCUUUAACCAUUUUGAUGGAGCAGUUCCGACAGGUGGUGUUUUUGACAACAUUGGUGCAGUUUCACUCCAAGGAAAUGAUCAUCUGUGUACAAUUGUCCCGAUGAGAGGUAUGUCUCUUUGUAUGGCUCUGUCUGACAGCAAAAGAAAGCAGAAGCCACUGGUUCUAGUCCUAGUGAUUCUAUUGCCAAUUGUUGUUGCCACUGCAAUCCUUUUCUCUUGUAUGGCAACAAUUUAUAGGAGGAAACGGAUGCAAGCAAAUCCCCAUUUGCAACAUGACAAUGCGCACGUAAAGAUAUCAUAUGAAGACUUGGUAAGGGCAACUGAUAGGUUUUCUUCUGAAAACUUAAUUGGUUCUGGAUCAUUUGGAAGGGUUUAUAAGGGAAGUCUGCAGUUUCAAGCAGAUCAAGUUGCCAUCAAGAUUUUUGACCUUGACAUUACUGGGGCAGAUAGGAGCUUCAUAGCAGAGUGUGAAGCCCUAAGAAAUGUUCGCCAUCGGAAUCUUGUAAAAAUCAUUACCUCAUGCUCUUCUGUGGAUCAUACUGGGGCAGAUUUCAAGGCCCUAGUGUUCCCAUACAUGCCAAAUGGGAACCUAGAAAUGUGGCUACAUCUAAAAGAUCCUGAAGAUGGUGAAAAGAAAAUUCUGAGUUUAAGCCAAAGGACUAACAUAGCCUUGGAUGUGGCAGUUGCUUUGGAUUACCUUCACAAUCAGUGUGCACCUCCAGUUAUACACUGCGACUUGAAGCCAAGCAAUAUACUUCUGGGUCUUGACAUGGUUGCGUACGUCAUCGACUUUGGCCUAGCAAGAUUCUUGUUAACAGCAAAUGCACAUCAAGAUAGUUCAGCAAGUUUGAGCCGCUUAAAAGGAUCCAUAGGAUACAUCCCACCAGAGUAUGGAAUGAGCGAAGAGAUAUCAACCAAGGGUGAUGUCUAUAGCUUCGGAGUGCUUCUGUUACAACUGAUAGCAGGGUGUAGUCCAACUGAUGAAAAAUUCAACGAUGGUAUAAGCCUUCAUGAAUUUGUUGAUAGAGCAUUUACAAAGAAUAUUCGUGAGGUUGUUGACCCCACAAUGCUACAAGAUAGCAGCAAUGCAACUGACAUGAUGAAGAAUUGCGUCAUCCCACUUUUAACAAUAGGCCUCUCUUGCUCCAUGACAUCACCCAAAGAGCGGCCGGGUAUGGGACAAGUUUCUACUGAGAUACUUAGAAUAAAGCAUGUGGCCUCAGACACAUGCGUGUCUGAUGAAGCAAAGAAUUAG
rnacentral:rRNA from 1 species